rnacentral:rRNA from 1 species
UACGGGGGGAGCAAGCGUUGUUCGGAUUUACUGGGCGUAAAGGGCGCGUAGGCGGCCACCGCAAGUCAAUUGUGAAAUCUCCGGGCUUAACUCGGAAAGGUCAACUGAUACUGUGCGGCUAGAGUGCAGAAGGGGCAACUGGAAUUCUCGGUGUAGCGGUGAAAUGCGUAGAUAUCGAGAGGAACACCUGCGGCGAAGGCGGGUUGCUGGGCUGACACUGACGCUGAUGCGCGAAAGCCAGGGGAGCGAACGGG